CCUGUGUCCAGACAGUGCCAUCCUGCCCAUAGAUCCGAUUUCUUUUCCCCUCCCUCUCUCUCUCUCUCGCUCUCUCUCUCUCUCUCUCUCUCUCUCUCUCUCUCUCUCUUAGGGACCAGUGAUGAGAGAAGAGAGAGAGAGAGAACAGGAUGACAGAGGGUGGGAUGGAAAGGGGAUCUACCUCUCUCAAAUUAUCACCAUCACUUCCUCUGUUCACACAGACAGCUCUGUGAGAGACUCAGGUGUUGGAACAUCAGACAAUGUCCUGACCGCCCUAUUUGGCGCGUCUCCUCAAAGUUGCGAUUCAUCGGAGGAAAGCAGAGCCGCGCAGGAAGGAAGCGCAGAGCUCAGUGUGUGCAGAGGUCAGCAUCGAACUCGGCUUCACUCCACGGACGCUAUUUUCGAGCCUUGGCACAAGAUGGCCUGCUCCCACUGGGCCACCAGAUGAUCAAAGCCUUGUGUCGAAAGUGCCAAGAGCCACGGUCCCUGCCGCAUUGCCAGCAUUCCGCCGGUCGCAAUCUCUGUCACGCCACUGCGGCGUGCAUGCAAUUUAUGCCAGUGUCCAUUCUGACAAUGACGAUCCAGUGUGGUGACAGGGCCUGAUAUCUUUACACUGCUCACAAAAUAAGGACAUUUGAUAGUUGACAUUGAUCAUAUUUAUAGAUCUUGUUCACACUUUUUAAUGCAAAUUGUUAGUAUUUUUAUGCAUUCACUGACUCCUAAAGGAUGCACUUGCUCGAACACUGGCUCAUUUUAAUUAAUUGGUCAUUCCCAAAGUGACAGCUGGCUCCACUCUCAAUAGAGAUAUUCCCAUCCCAAUUCCCAAUAUGAGCAUAGUGGCACUUAAGUUCUUCUAAAAGCUUCAUUUGAUGGUGCAUUAAAGAAUCAAAUCACAUUUUGGGCUGUAAGAGUGCAGAUCUUUAAGCUGGUAUCAUGAUACAAUGGAUUUUUGCUAAUCUCCUGGAGGUAUUGAUCUGGAGGGUGAAAUAAACCUAUCCAGCUCCAGGUCCUCA
ensembl:lncRNA